GGACUACCAGGGUAUCUAAUCCUGUUUGCUCCCCACGCUUUCGUGUCUGAGUGUCAGUGCUGGUCCAGGUAGCCGCCUUCGCCACUGGUGUUCCUCCCGAUCUCUACGCAUUUCACCGCUACACCGGGAAUUCCACUACCCUCUACCGCACUCUAGCUAUCCAGUCUCCACUGCCAUUCCCAGGUUGAGCCCGGGGCUUUCACAGCAGACUUAAAUAACCACCUGCACACGCUUUACGCCCAGUAAUUCCGAGUAACGCUUGCACCCUUCGUAUUACCGCGGCGGCUGGCAC
rnacentral:rRNA from 1 species